AUCUUAAUGGUUUGACCCUAUGUCUGUAGAGAUUAUUGUGGCCAAGGCCAACCUCCUCCUCCCUGCCUCUGUGAGUUCACUGAAUAAGGUGUCGCCAGAUUGAGGUGGUCCCCACUGCCCUGCGGACAGCAGCUGGACAAGAAGACACAGUGGACCAACACCAAUGUGGAGGAUCAAAGAGAACCUGACCUCAAUAGAACUCAAUCUGGAAGAAGGUGUAAAGAUGCACAAUGAUGGUCAGGACAUCAAUCAAGAGGCAAAAGAAGAAUGAGGGAUGCUGUAGAGGAUGGAUUGCAAAGUGGAUGGGGAGGAGGAAGGAGAGACUGAGGGACAAAGACAUGGCUAGGGACGUCAAGAGGAUGGGCGAGCAGGUGAGGGCACUGAUCCAAGUGAUGAAGAGAAACUGCAGUGAAGGUGAUCUUAAGGCAGUAGACCUGGACAGUUGGCUGAAUGACUUGGAGGUUGAAAGUGGCAUUCAAGAAAUGCACAGGAGAGAUGGCUGAAAUUAUAGACAGCUGGGACAGAAAUGCAGACCAUUAUAGUCGAGAACAGGCGCCUCAAGUCUGAAAAAAAUAACCAUGUCCAGAGCUUUAGCCCAGGGAAUGUCUCUGGUCCUGUGUCUGGCAAGGCUGGCCUCUCUCCUCCUGUGACCUGAGCACCCCGGACCCUGGCUGAAGCUCUACGGGCACUGCCCUCUGCUGUGGCCCCUCCCUCCCCAGAGAAUGUCCCGAGGCCUCUGACUCCUCUCAGCCUAGUUAUUAUCACUCCGUCCGCUACAGAGAACUUCCCAUACCGCCGCCGCCCUCGGCUGGCCCCCAUAACCAACCUGAGUGUAACCGCCCCCACAGAAAGAAAGAUGGAUCGUAAUGAUGAGAGAAUCAAAAGAGCUUUAAGACGCCGUCCUUAUGUGUUGAAACCAGUGAGGGUGAACACCCCUGAUUCCGUGUUGUGGCCAACCGGCAAGGUGCACAGAAGGCCAAAGCCUUCUAAUUCAGUGCAGACCCCUCAGAUCCACAAAAGGCCUCCAAUCAUUGUGAGCUAUGGGCAGGACCAGACAUCUGGGGAUGGAUGGAGCAUCACUCCAGAGCCUCUCAGCCAGUCUGGAAGGGUGACUCGGCUGAUAGAGAGAAAUUAUCAUGACGUGAUCUCAUCCUCCAGUUCUGAUGACUUUUCCAUCUACUCCUUCACUGACUGUGAAUCUGAGUGUGAUGAUGAGGAUCAUGAAAGGAGGACCCCAAAGCUGAAAGUUGAGAAUGGAAAGGUGACAAAGCUUGAUGUGAGGGAUAUGGACGAGGAUGAUCUGUCUCUCCACUCCUUCGAUGAGUCAGACUUCCUGAGCCCAGGGAAGGUCUCAGGUCCUGUAUCUGUCAAGAAUGGCCUCUCUCCUCUUGUGAGCUCAGCACACCGGACCCUGGCUGAAGCCCUACGGGCCCUGCCCUCUGCUGUAGGCUCUCCCUACCCAUUAAAUGUUCCAAGGCCUCGGACUCCUCUCAACCCUGUCAUUAUCGCUCCGCCCCGAACAGAGAACUUCCCAUACCGCCACAGCCCUCGCCUGGCUCCCAUCACCAACCUGAGCGAGACCGGCAGGAAGCUGCUCCAGGAAAUGGCUGGAGUGGCCCCACAGGUGAGAGGAAAUACGAAGGGAAGGUCAAUAAGAAAAACAAGGGCAAGGCCAAAAAAGAAUUGAAGCAAGAGAAGGCCAGUAAGACGCAACAGAUGGGAAAUGUUGGAGAAAGUAAGGAGGAGGACAAGAAAGAGGAAAAGAAGAGUCUGAGGAAAAGGUUUCUUGAGUGGCUGCUGCCCAAACUGAGAUGUUCAAAGAAAUAAUGGCCAACUAUUACUUCUACCACACACACACACACACACACACACACACACACACACACACACACACACACACACACACACACACACACACACACACACACACACACACACACACACACACACACACACACACACACACACACACACACACACACACACACACAUAGAUUUUGAGUAUUGGUUAUUCCUACAACACACAUAAACGUAAUUUCAGAGACAGGAACUAUGAUUAGCAAAAUACAUAUAUUGGUCUCAUUCUUAUAUUUUGAGACAUGCAGCAUUAUUUU